GUCCUGACUUUAGCAGUGCAUAUAAUCAAAUUGGAAAGAUACAGAGAAGAUCAGUAUAGCUCCUGUGCAA
rnacentral:snRNA from 1 species